UGACCUGAGCUGAAGUCAGACGCUUAACCGACUGAGCCACCCAGGCGCCCCUCCUCUAUAUUUUCUUUUAGGACUUCAAGGUCUUAAGUUUAAGGCUUACUUAAUUUAGAGUAGAUUUUUGUAUAUGGUAUAAGUUAAAGGUUCUAUUUCAUUCUUUUGUAAGUGGAUAUUCACUUUUCCCAUACAUUUGUUGAAGAGCCUGUCCUUUCUCCAUUGUAUAUUCUUGUCCUUGUUGUUGAAGAUAGUUUACUAUAAAUGUGUGGGUUUAUUUUUGGCCUCUCUUUUCUGUUCUUUUGGUCAAUAUGUCUGUUUUUAUGUUUGUUUUGUUUACUGUAGCUUUGUAAUGUAUUUUGAAAUCAGAAAGUGUGAGACUUCUUGCUUUGUUCUUCUUGCUCCUCAUUAUUGCUUUGAGUAUUCAGGAGUCUCUUAUGGUUCCAUAUAAAUUUUAGGGUUUUUUUUUUUCUAUUUCAGUAAAAAAUGCCUUUGUAAUUUUGGUAAGGAUCGAGUUGAAUCUAUAGAUGGCUUUCAGUAGUAUGUACUUUUUUGGGUAAGAUUUAUUUUUAAGUAAUCUCUAUGCCUGGUGUGUGGCUAAAACCCACAACCCUGAGAUCAAGAAUUCCAUGCUCUACUGGCUGAGCCAGCCAUGUGCCCCUCAGUAGUAUAUACAUUUUGACAAUAUUAAAUCUUCCAGUUCAUGAACACAAAGGUCCUUUUUUUCCCCCAUCUUUCUUUAUUUUGAGAGACAGAGAGCAUGUGUGCACACAAACGAGGUUGGGACAGAGAGAGAGGGAGAGAGAAUCCUAAGCAGGCCCCAUUCUGUCAGUGCAGAGCCCGACUCAGGGCUCCAUCUCAGUAACCGUGAGAUCAUGACCUGAGCUGAAAUCCAGAGUGGGAUGCUUAACCGAAUGAGCUACCCAGGCUACCCCACCGCACUAUUUUACAUUCCUACCAUCAGUGUAUGAAGAUUCUAAUUUCUCUACGUCCUGGCCAAUACUUACUAGUUUUUUGUUUUUUGUUUUUUAAUUAUAUCCAUCUUAAUGAAUGUGAAGUGGUAUCUCAUCGUUUUAUUUGCGUUGCCUUAAUGACUAAUGAGCAUCUUUUCCUGUGCUAAUUGGCUAUUCAUCUUUUUUGGAGAAAUGGUCUAUUUGAGUCCUUCACUUAUUUAAAAAAAAGAGUGUAAAAUAUACACACAUAAAAUUUAUAUUUUAAAGAUUUUUAGGUGUGUAUUUCAGUGGCAUUAAGUACAUUUACAUUGUUGUGUAGCCAUCAUCACCAUACAUUUUCAGACUUUUUCCUAUAUCGUUUCCUUUAUCUUUUUCUGUUGUUGAGUUGUAGAAGUCAUGUAUAUAUUCUAGAUAUGAGACCUUUAUUAGAUACGUGGUUUGUAAAUGUUUUUUCCUAUUGGGUGGAUAUCCUAGCACUCUUGAUAGUGCUCUCCACAAAAAACUUAAGUUUGAUGAAGUCGAAUUUACCUGUAUAUUCUUUUGUUGAUUGUUCUUUUGGUUUCCUUUUUAUGAAUUUGUUGCCAAAUCCUAGGCUAUGAAGACUUAUUGCUGUGUAUUUUCAAAGAAUUUUAUAGUUUUAGCUCUUAACAUUUAGAUUUUUGAUGAGUUUGAGUUAAUUUUAGUAUGUGGGGGCAGAUAAAACUUUAUGUUUUAAAUUUUUAAUAGCUUUAUUGUGGUAUAAUUCAUACACCAUUCAGUAUACCCAUUUAAAGUAUGUAAUUUUAGGUGUUUGGCUGGUUCAGUCAGUGGAGCAUGAGUGUUUUGAUAACAUGGGGUUAUAAGCUCAAGCCCCAUGUUGGGUGUAGAGAUUACUUAAAGAUAAAAUCUUUUUUUUUUUUUUUUUAAGUUUAUUUAUUUUGAGAGAGAGAGAGUGAGCUAGCUUGAGUGGGGGAGGAGCAGAGAGGGAGAGGGAAUCCCAAGCAGGCUCUGCACUAUCAGCACAGAGCCAGAUGCAAGGCUUGAACUCACAAAUGUGAGUUAAUGAUCUGAGCCCAAAUCCAGAGUUGGAUGUUUAACUGCCCUGAGCCACCUAAGUGCCCCAAGAUAAAAUCUUAAAAAGAAAAAAAAAAGUAUAUAAUUCAGUGAUUUUUAAUAUAUUCAUUGAGUUGCACAUCGAUUACCAUAAUCAAACUUUAAAAAUUUUCAUUAUGUCAUUAGCAGUCACACCCCUCAGCCCUAAACAACCACUAGUCUGUUCUUUUUCUAUGGAUUUUUCCAUUUUGAAUAUUUCAUAUAAAUUGAGUCAUAUAAUAUGUGGUCUUUGUGACUGAGUUCUUUAACUUAGCAUAAUGUUUUAAAGGUUCAUUCAUAUUGUAGCAUGUAUCAGUAUUUUGUUCCUUUUUGUAAUUAAUAUUCCAGCACAUGAAUAUACCACAUUUUGUUUAUCUGUUCAUCAGUUGAUGGAUCUUUGGUUUGUUUUCACAUUUUGGCUAUUAUGAAUACUGCUAGGAAGAUUUGUGUACAAGUUUUCAUGUGGGUUCAUGUUUUCAUCUUUCUUGGGUAUAUACCUAACGAAUCCACAUUUAAUGUUAUUUAAAGUUUUAAAAUUAAGUAUCAUAAUUAAAAUGAACUAUUUCUGAAUUAUUACACCUGUUGUCUUGUACAACUCCAAUAUUCUCCUCCCCCUUUUUAAAGAACUGUGGUAGAAUGCACAAAAUGUAAUAUGUCAUUUGAUAUUUGUACAUUGUUAUUUGUACAUUCAUAGUAUUGUACAGCUAUUGCCUCUGUCUAGUUCCAAAGAAUUUUUUACCACCUCAAAUGAAAAUCCCAUACCCAUUAAGCAGUCAUUCCACAUUCACUUGGCAUUUAUCAGUCUGCUUUCUGUGUCUCUGUAUUUGCCUAUUGUGGAUAUUUCAUGUAAAUGAAAUCAUAAAAUACAUGUCUUUUUACAUGCCUGUAAUAAUGUUUUUUGCUUAACAUAAUGUUUUCAAAGUUCAUCCGUGAAGAAUGGAUCAAAAUUAUUAUUUUUAUGGCUGAAUAGACUAUUGUUAUUUAGUUACCACAAUUUUUUGUCCAUGCAUCAAUGGACAUUAGUAUAUUUUUUUCACUUUUUGGCUAUUAUCAGUAAUAUUGCUGUAAACAUAAUGUGUUUAAGUCUCUUUAUGGACACAUAUUUUCAUUUCUGUUCUGUCUAUACCUAGGAGUGGAGUUUUCUAACAGUUUUAUAGUUUUAGUUCUUGUAUUUAGGCCAUUGAUCUAAUUUGAGUUAAUAUUUGUGUAUGGAAUGAGGAAGGAGUCCAACUUCAAUCUUUUGCAUAUGUGAUUCACAUAUCUCAGUACCAUUCUUGCAUAGGCUAUUCCUUCUCCAUUGAAUGGUGUUGGUGCCAUUGUCAAAUAUCUGUUGAACAUAUUGGUGAGGGUUUAUAUUUGGACUCUCAAUUUUAUCCAUUGAUCUGUUUCUCUUACGCAGUAUCACACUGUUUUGAUUACUGUAGCUUUCUGUUAAGUUUUGAAUUCAGGAUGUAUGAGUCCUGUUUUUUUUUUUCAAUAUUGUUUUGUCUUUUCUGUCUGCUUGCAGUUCCAUAUGAAUUUGAGAUUCAGCUUUUCCAUUUCUCCAAAGAGGGUUUUGGAAUUUUCAUAGAGUGUGCAUUGAAUAUGUACAUCAUUUUGGGGAGUAUUUAAGUUAUUUCCACCUUUUUGAAUAUUGUGAAUAGUGCUGCUACGAACAUGGGUGUACAAAUAUCUGUUUGUGAGUGCCUGCUUUUACUUAUUUUCAGUAUAUAGGAGUGGAAUUGCUGGAUCCUAUGGUGAUUUUUUGUUUACGUUUUUGAGGUAUUGUUUCCAAUUUUUAUUAUAUAUUUGCUUGGUUACCCAGUAGUUCAGUAGUUUACCCUGUUUCGGUAGUUGCUUGUGAUAGUUUUUUCUCUGUUUAUGUUCUAUUUUUUGUGGUGAGACCCUUGAAAUUGUCUAUUUAUUUGUUUCUUCUGAUGUUGCUCUAGACACGUAGCUGUGGCAACCUCUGCUUAAAAUUUUGGAACUUAUUUUCUGCAACUGUUUUCAGAAGUUGCUGCUUUAUCUGGUGAAGAAGUUAAAUAGUUAGAUAACAGUUUAGGUUCUAAAUGUGACUUGAAAUUAACAUGAAUGAUAUUUAUCAUGUGAUCUGUAGAGUUCACUUCUUAGUGGUAGUGUUUGGCAAACACCUGUGUUUGUAACAGUUCAUGAACCAAGAAUAGCUUUUAGGGGUGCCUGGGUGGCUCAGUCGGUUAAAAGUUUGAGUCUUGAUUUCGACUUAGGUCAUGACCUUAUGGUUCAUGAGAUCAAGCCCUUAGUCAGGCUCUGUGCUGACAGCUCAGAGCCUGCUUGGGAUUCUCUCUGUCUCUCUACCUCCCUCUCUGCCCCUUCCCCCCCUCGUGUGCUUUCUCUCUUUCAAAAUAAAUAAACUUAAAAAAAAAAAAAAAAGAAUAGCUUAUACAUUUUUGAAAGGGUAGGAGGAAAAAAUAUUUUGUAACAUGUUAAAAUAUCAGAUUUCAGUAACAAUAUAUACAAAGUUCUGUUGGAACAUGGCUUUUUUAAGUGUUGUUUAUGGCUAUUUUUGUGCUAUGAUGAGAGUUGAGUAGUUGGGAAAAAGACUGUAUGUCUUAUAGAGUAAAAUAUUUACUAUCCAGCCCUUAACAGAAAAAAUUUAUCAACCUCUUGUGUAUGUCAUCCCGGAGUUAUUAAAUGGCUUUGUAAGGACAAUACCUGCUUGUCAAGUUCUGGUGUGUAUAUCAAAAUAUUAUUUGCUCUUAAGCACAUCUAAUAUUUUAAGUUUUAAUGAAUGGAGAUGGUAAUUUGGUAGUUAAAUUAACUACGAUGACAACUUUUCUAGUUAACGGGGAGGAUGUUUAUAGGUAGUCUGAUACUCUCAUGUCAUUUUGGUCAGCGUUUCUUCUUGAUUUUCAGCAAGGAGGGUAAAAAGUCCUUUGGAGUUUCCAUAAUACUGUUACAGCAUGUUUUAUGAUACAUUUUGAUUAUUAUUCCUGUAUCCUCCACUAAACUUAGAACUUCAAGUUUGGGAUUUGUGUUAAACUAUCUUUAUUUUGUAUCCUUGAGGCCUGGCACAGUCUCUGGUAAGCAGGUAAAUAGUGAUCGCUUCAGGAGGAAUGAAUAUAAGUAUUCUGUGAAUAUAAUUUGCAAAUAUACAAAUUAUAUAAAUUAUAUUCUAUUGUACAAUUAUAUAAUUAUAGUGAGUAUUCUAUAAAUAUCUAAGUCAUUUCUCAUCUUGGCCCUCCUGCAGAGAGGAAAGCUAGGUUCGUGUUUCAGAGAUGUAAAAAGAAAAUAACUAGGGACCUGUGAGAGACUGAAUCAGUUGGAGAAAAUUAUUAUACAGUUAGGGCACCAUUGCCCAAAAUAGUUAUCUUCCUUUUAGCUCAUCAGAGUAUAGUUUGUAUAUAUUUAUUUUGUAGAUUUUGUUUGGGUUGUAUUAUCACAAAUGUGAUCACAAAAGAUAUUAGGGUUAAUUUUCUGUAAUUUCUGUGGUGAGUAGAAAGAUAAUUUGAAUACAUACAUGAGUUACAUAAGGUAAUCGCAUUUUGAAAAUUGCGUUUUGAGAUUUUUUUUCUUGGAAGGGCAAAUGUUAAAGCUUUUGACUACAAUAGUGAUGUAUCAUUUAAACCUCAUGGAAAAAGGAUACUUUGUGUGUUGUUUAAACAUGCAGGGUAAAGUUUUAAAGAGUUAAUCUUUUUUUUUUUAAUUUUUUUUAAUGUUUAUUUAUUUUUGAGACAGAGACAGAGCAUGAACGGGGGAGGGUCAGAGAGAGGGAGACACAGAAUCUGAAACAGGCUCCAGGCUCUGAGCUGUCAGCACAGAGCCCGACGUGGGGCUCGAACUCACAGACCGCGAGAUCAUGACCUGAGCCGAAGUCGGCCGCUUAACUGACUGAGCCACCCAGCGCCCCAAGAAUUAAUCUUUAGAAUGGCAAGGGAUACAUCCUGUCUGCAUUUUAUAGCAAGGUUUAUUGGUGAAUGGAACAUUGAAAUGAGAAAAUUCUACCUUUCUUCAUUUCAGUGACUUCACAGUGUUUUGAAUUGAGGAGGAAAUUGAAGAAAUAAUUUAGUAUUAGAUUAUUCUAUCAGUUUUUAUGAUUGUAUAUCCAGUAUAAUGAUGUCUGCAUUUAACUGGAAAAAAAUAUAUAUAUUUUUUAAGUUUUAUUUAUUUAAGUAAUCUCUACACUCAAUGUGGACUCGAACUCAUGACCCCAAGAUCAAGAAUUAUGCACUGUUCUAACUGAGCCAGCCAGGCGUCCCUAACCAAACAAUUUUAAAUUGGCUUUUGUCAUUACUUUUCCUGAUUAGCACAGUAAAAAUCAGGGAGUACUUGUGGCACCUGGGUGGCUGAGUCAGUUAAGCAGCAGACUCUUGAUUUUUGCUUAGGUCCUAAUUUCAGUUUGUGAGUUUGAGCCCUGAGUUGGGUUCUCUGCUCACUGUGUGGAGCCUGCUUCAGAUCCUCUGCCUCCCGCUUUCUGGCCCUUUCCCAGUUGUGAGCACGUGUAUCCCCCAUCCCAGCCCCCCCAGAAGUAAAUGUUAAAAAAAAUUUUUUUUAGUGUUUUGAAAUUUAUUUUUCAGAGAGACAGAGAGAGCAUGAACAGGGGAGGGACAGCGAGAGAGGGAGACAGAAUCCAAAUCAAGUUCCAGGCUCCGAGCUGUCAGCACAGAGCCUGAUGUGGGGCUUGAACCCACGAACCAUGAGAUCAUGACUUGAGCUGAAGUUGGACUGGCCGCCUGACUGAGCCACCCAGGCACCCUGCCCCCCGCCCCCCCCCCCCAAUUUUUUUUUAAAUCUGGAAAUAUUAAAAAAUUUUUUUUUUUAACAUUUAUUUAUUUUUGAGACAGAGAGAGACAGAGCAUGAACGGGGGAGGGUCACAGAGAGAGGGAGACACAGAAUCUGAAACAGGCUCCAGGCUCUGAGCUGUCAGCACAGAGCCCAAUGCAGGGCUCGAACUCAUGGACUAUAAGAUCAUGACCUGAGCCGAAGUCGGAUGCUUAACCGACUGAACCACCCAGGCGCCCCUGGAAGUACUCAUUUUUGUAAAGUAUAAAUCAUGUUGGAAGAAGUUAGCACCAUUAAAAAAAUUUUUUUUUUUUUUGUAUUUUGCCAAAAAGCCUUUGGUGGUGAUCUGAGGAUUCUUUUAACUCCAGAACUUAGUCCAGAGCCCAGCUAGAUACCCAGACUUUGGGAUCAGUUAGGGUUGAACUUGGCAAUUAAUGAUAUCCUAGUGGAAACUCUCUGGGGUUUCUCAAUAGUAUAUGCAGGUAAUACCUACCUACCACGGUUUUUUAUUCUGUUUUCUUUCUUUCUUUCUUUCUUUCUUUCUUUCUUUCUUUCUUUCUUUCUUUCUUUCUUUCUUUCUUUCUCUCUCUCUCUCUCUCUCUCUCUCUCUCUCUCUCUCUUUCUUUCUUUCUUUCUUUCUUACAUUUAUUUUUGAGAGACAGAGAGACACAGAGUGUGAGCAGAGGAGGGGCAGAGAGGAGACAAAGAAUCCGAAGCAGACUCCAGGCUCUGAGCAAGCUGUCAGCACAGAGCCCAAUGUGGGGCUUGAACCCAUGAACCAUGAGAUCAGGACCUGAGCCGGAGUCAGAUGCUCAACUGACUGAGCCACCCAGGCGCCCCGAUUCUGUUUCAUUAUAUAUGGGAAAGGCUUGGCACAUAGUAGAAUGUUCUCUCACAUGUUAUUUUCCUCUCUGCCUGAGAUUCAUCUUGGUCUCAGUUUUUAAAGUUUCACGAUUUUUCUUUCUCUUUUCUUUUCUUCUUUUUUUUAAUGUUUAUUUGGGGCGGGGGAAGAAUGAAGAACAGAGGGAGAAAGAGGAUCUGAAGCAGGCUCUGUGUUAACUCAGGAACUGUGAGAUAUGACCUGAGCCAAAGUAUGAUUAACCUACUGAGCCACCCAGGCACCCCAAGACUUUUCUUUUAAAAUUCAAAUACUGGACCCCAACCAUUGGGUUUUUCAAAUUAUACAUGUCACUAAUCAGUUCAACAUACUUAUUGACUCAGUAAGUUUGCUAAGUUGGCUCUUUGAUCUUUUGUUAAGUUGGUAUUUGAUCCUACUUGUUCACUAGAAACUUAAAAUUUUUUUCUAGUUUAUUUAGAGAAAGUGAGUGGUUGAGUGGGGGCAGGGGCAGAGAGAGACGGAGAUAGAGAAUCACAAGCAGGCUCUGUGUUGUCAAUGCAGAGCCUGUCUCAGGAUUCCAUGUCAGGAACUUUGCAGUCAUGAUCUGAGCCUAAACCCAAGAGUUGGACACUCAACUGACUGAGCCACCCAGGUGCCUCCACCAGAAACUUUAGAUACAGAAGUUCCAUAAAUCCAGUAGGUUUAGCUUUGAGAAUCUAAGCAGUGUGGAUCGACUAUGGAAUAUACUGUUUUUUUUCUAGUCCCCUCCAUAUCUGUAUCAGGAGUCUGUUAGCACUUAACCUCUGUGUGUGACUCAACCCUUAUUCCACCCAAAGACACUAGUUAAGUUUCUGGAAUAUUUCUAGUAGAUUACCAGCAACUGGAGGACAAAGUGUCCUUUGGCUAUGGUUUUUAAUGUGACAUUUCCAAGGGAUACUUUUUAGCUUUGUGCAUUUAAACUUUCCCUUUGCAUUGCAUGCUGUGUUUUCUCACCUAGGUGUAUUUAACGUUGCUUUGGGGUGCCUGGGUGGCUCAGUCAGUUGAACAUCCUACUCAUUGGUUUCAGCUCAGGUCAUGAUCUCACGGUUUGUGGGUUCAAGCACUACGUGGAGCUUGGCACUGAUAGUGCAGAGCCUGCUUGCGAUUCUCUCUAUCCCUCUCUCUCUCUCUGCCUCUUCCCCACUUGCUCUCUCUCUCAAAAAUAAACAUAAAAAAAAAGUUAACUUAUGUUCUAGGGAUUGAAGUGGAAGAUAAACACUUUCACAUUUACAACAUUUCCUUAUGUUUUUGCUCUUUGUAUUUAUUUGUUUUUCAAUGAAUACUCAGCAUUAACAGUGUGCCAGACACUGUUUGAAGUCUGGGAGUACAGUAAUGAGCAAAAAAUACAUGGUUAGUCCUCAUGGAUCUUCAGUCCAGGGUGUGGAGAAAACAUUACACAAGUCAUCCCAUAAUAGUUACAUAAUUGCAGUUAAACCUAGGAUAGGAAGAGAAGUGUUAAGGAACUUUGAGCGUGUAUUCCCAGGAGACCUGAUUUGGUUUAGUGUUCAGCAAGGCUUCCCUAAGAAAGUGACAUAGAGACUGGGAUCCAAAGAUUGAGUUAAGAGUUACCUUGGGGGCGCCUAGGUAACUCCGUCAGUUGAGCACUCAUCUUUGGCUCAUGAAUUUGAGCCCCACAUUGGGCUCACUGCUUUCAGCGCAGAGUCUGUGAGAGCCCACUUAAGAUCCUCUGUCCCCCUUUCCUUCUGCCCCUCCCCUGCUGGCGCUAUCUUAAAAAAAUAAACGUUAAAAAAAAGUUAACUUGAGUAUAAAAGGGUCUGAGAGGGUGGGAGUGGGAGAAUUGAAAGAGCAUUUUUGGCAGAGGGACCAGCUUGGGUAGAUGUCAGAGGAUCAUGAUCUCCAAGUUCAUGAUCUCACAGUUUGUGAAUUUGAGCCCUACAUUGGGCCCCUGUUCUCAGCACAGAGCCCAUUUCUGGUCCUCUGUCCCCCCUCCCUCUGCCACUUCCCCACUUGUGCUCUCUCUCUCAAAAAUAAAAUAAAACAAAAGCUGUGCAUCCAAAUUGGUUAGCAUUUAAAACAAAAAAAGUGUUUGAUGCCCAACCAACUCAGCCAUCCAGGCACCCCUGAUACAUAUAUGUAAAUAUGUAUAAACACGCACACACACAUACUUUUGAGAAAAAGUUUGUUUAUUUUGCGAGGGCGGGGAGGGGCAGAGAGAGGAAGAGAGAGAGAAUCCCAAGUAGGCUCCGUGCUUCAGCACCGAGCCCGACAGAGGGCUUGAACUUGUGAACCAUGAGAUUAUGACCUGAGCUGAAACCAAGAGUUGGACCCUUAAAACCGACUGAGCCACCCAGGUGCCCCAAUUAUGCUUUUUAAAUAAAGUCAUUAUUUAUGAGUAAUUAUGAAUACAAGAAUAUGAGUAAUUAUUUUUUUUUCAAUAUAUGAAAUUUAUUGUCAAAUUGGUUUCCAUACAACACCCAGUGCUCAUCCCAAAAGGUGCCCUCCUCAAUACCCAUCACCCACCCUCCCCUCCCUCCCACCCCCCAUCAACCCUCAGUUCUCAGUUUUUAAGAGUCUCAUGAGUAAUUAUUUUUUAUAUCUUUAUUUUUGUUUAUUAAGUUUAUUUACUUUGAAAAAGAGAGCGAGUGAGUUGGGAAGGGGCAGAGAAGGGGGGGAGAGAGAGAGAGAGAGAGAGAGAGAGAGAGAAAAUCCCAACCAGUCUUCAUACUGCCAAUGUGGAGUCCUACACGGGGCUUGAACCCAUAAACCGUGAGAUCAUGACCUGAGCCAAUACCAAGAGUCAGAGGCUUAACUGCCUGAGCCACUCAGGCACCCCUAUUUUUUAUAUCUUUAGCCAAUUGCAAAGUUAAUCUCUAUUUAGUCAGUUAUAAGCUGUAUUAGUAAUCAAAGGUAAACAGAUUAAUUUACUUAAGUUUAGGUUGCAUUGGAAUUGGUUUUAACUCAGUAAGAAACUUUGUUCUCAUACAGGCUUAAUGUGCCUGGCAUAUUGAUGAAAGUGCUACAACCUAUAUAUUUUUGCAUACUUAGUAGUAAUUCUGACAGUACUUAACCAGGGACUAAUAGCAGAUUGGUAUUACAUCCAUUUUAUAGAUGAGCUCAAAGGCAAUUAACUGCACAAGAUCGUACACCUCUGAUUCUAGGGAAUGGACACUCUUGUAGGGCCUUCACAACACCUGAAUUAUCAUCACUGUUUAUUUGAAGGUCAGGCCCUGUAAUUGAGCAUCUAAUUCAAAUUAAGACUGGUGUAUUAUUGUGUAGUUGGAGAACAGAUUCAAAUCUUGAGCUAGAUUUAGUUUAGUUUUGGAGAUGUCUCAUUGUGUUUUUGGCUGGGGUUGGGGAGAUAUUAUGUCUUAAUCAUCUCUGUAGCCUAGGGCCUAGUUUAGCCUGGUGGUCAGUGAACAAAAGUGAUAUUUUGCAGGUUUGUUAUGGUUUAGUUUCUUAAAUGGACUCCCUCAAAUUAAAAAAACAAAACGGUACACAAAAUAAACCCACUCUCUUGUUCUUGUGA